GAUGAACGCUGGCGGCAGGCUUAAUACAUGCAGGUUGAACGGUAACAUGUUGUAGCAAUACGAUGAUGACGAGUGGCGCACGGGUGCGUAACACGUGUGUAACCUACCUUAUACAGGAACAUAACGUUGAGAAAUCGGCGCUAACAUUCCAUAAUAUUAUUUGUAGGCAUCUAUGAAUAAUUAAAACUCCGGUGGUAUAAGAUGGGCACGCGUUCCAUUAGCUAGUUGGUAAGGUAACGGCUUACCAAGGCAACGAUGGAUAGGGGUUCUGAGAGGAUAAUCCCCCACACUGGAACUGAGACACGGUCCAGACUCCUACGGGAGGCAGCAGUAAGGAAUAUUGGGCAAUGGAGGCAACUCUGACCCAGCCAUGCCGCGUGCAGGAAGACGGCCCUAUGGGUUGUAAACUGCUUUUAAUAGGGAUUAAAGUCGACUACGUGUAGUUGUUUGCAAGUACCUAUAGAAUAAGCAUCGGCUAACUCCGUGCCAGCAGCCGCGGUAAUACGGAGGAUGCAAGCGUUAUCCGGAUUUAUUGGGUUUAAAGGGUGCGCAGGCGGACUAAUAAGUCAGUGGUGAAAUUUACAUGCUUAACAUGUGACGUGCCAUUGAUACUGUUAGACUAGUAUAC
rnacentral:rRNA from 1 species